GAUGAACGCUGGCGGCGUGCUUAACACAUGCAAGUCGAGCGAAGCACCUUGACGGAUUUUUUCGGAUUGAAGCCUUGGUGACUGAGCGGCGGACGGGUGAGUAACGCGUGGGUAACCUGCCUCAUACAGGGGGAUAACAGUUGGAAACGGCUGCUAAUACCGCAUAAGCGCACAGUACCGCAUGGUACGGUGUGAAAAACUCCGGUGGUAUGAGAUGGACCCGCGUCUGAUUAGGUAGUUGGUGGGGUAACGGCCUACCAAGCCGACGAUCAGUAGCCGACCUGAGAGGGUGACCGGCCACAUUGGGACUGAGACACGGCCCAAACUCCUACGGGAGGCAGCAGUGGGGAAUAUUGCACAAUGGGGGAAACCCUGAUGCAGCGACGCCGCGUGAGCGAUGAAGUAUUUCGGUAUGUAAAGCUCUAUCAGCAGGGAAGAAAAUGACGGU
rnacentral:rRNA from 1 species